rnacentral:rRNA from 1 species
GAUGAACGCUGGCGGCGUGCCUAAUACAUGCAAGUCGAGCGAACGGACUAGAAGCUUGCUUCUCUGAUGUUAGCGGCGGAAGGGUGAGUAACACGUGGAUAACCUACCUAUAAGACUGGGAUAACUUCGGGAAACCGUAGCUAAUACCGGAUAAUAUUUUGAACCGCAUGGUUCAAAAGUGAAAGACGGUCUUGCUGUCACUUAUAGAUGGAUCCGCGCUGCAUUAGCUAGUUGGUAAGGUAACGGCUUACCAAGGCAACGAUGCAUAGCCGACCUGAGAGAGUGAUCGGCCACACUGGAACUGAGACACGGUCCAGACUCCUACGGGAGGCAGCAGUAGGGAAUCUUCCGCAAUGGGCGAAAGCCUGACGGAGCAACGCCGCGUGAGUGAUGAAGGUCUUCGGAUCGUAAAACUCUGUUAUUAGGGAAGAACAUAUGUGUAAGUAACUGUGCACAUCUUGACGGUACCUAAUCAGAAAGCCACGGCUAACUACGUG